rnacentral:misc_RNA from 1 species
GAUGAAGAACGCAGCGAAAUGCGAUAAGUAAUGUGAAUUGCAGAAUUCAGUGAAUCAUCGAAUCUUUGAACGCACAUUGCGCCCCCUGGUAUUCCGGGGGGCAUGCCUGUUCGAGCGUCAUUACAACCCUCAAGCUCUGCUUGGUAUUGGGCCCCGCCAGUUCUGGCGGGCCCUAAAGUCAGUGGCGGUGCCUUCCGGCUCCGAGCGUAGUAAUUCUUCUCGCUCUGGAGACCCGGUUGUGUGCUUGCCAACAACCCCCAAUUUUUUAAGGUUGACCUCGGAUCAGGUAGGGAUACCCGCUGAACUUAAGCAUAUCAAUAAGCGGUGGA